UAACUCUGUGAAAUUAAAAGCACACACAAAACAGACAGGAAAAAACCCCGUGAUCAUCAAACCACCAAAAAGUGCUCAAAUGUUCAAUAAAUAAAACUUUAAGAUAAAACAGGCAUGUUGCUAUGCAAACAUACACUACAGAAGCCUCAAGCAUUGAUCAUGGCAGGCAACAACUACGUUUAAUUGAAAAUAUCAUCCACCUUCUUACGAUUUUCCUCCUCUUCUGUCUCCACCUAUGUAAUGGAACCACCCAGAGGUCAGCAAAAGAAAAGACUUGUUAGUGGAAGCUACUGAAGCAGCAAAGAGGUUUUGUUUGGAAAUACUACAAAUAAUGUGCUCUGUUUACAAACCUUUAUUGCUCUGGCCUCAGAUGCUGCUCAAGUUAAUAAACCACUGCAUUCUUCCACCUAUAGCACUGUGGAAAUGGCUGAAGCAUUUUUGAUAUAGAUGAAAUGGAAAAUGAAAUAUCUUUCUGUCUCUCUACAACCCUAAUAUUGCUGCUUGUUUUUUUUCCAUAGUUUGGAAGAAUUUUUGAAAACAAAAUGUGAAGGAAAAAAGCAUCUGCUGUGAACAUUCAAGGGGAGUCGCUGUAAUGUCAAUGCAGCUUGAAAAAAGUUUGCAUACUAUUUUAAAGCCACUACAUCUGUAUUGUUAAAUGGUUAAAGACAAUACAAACCUUUCAAAUAAUAAAGCUGACAUGUACCCAAUGUUCUGCAAGUUAAUGCCUCUUUCACAGGACUGCAGUUUGUGCUGUCUGAGGGUGUGUACACAGGUUUACCGAGGUUAUCAUGCUCUGAAAUGUCUGAAAUAACAUCUUUUUCAGGGAUAGCAGGUAAGUUUGGGGAAUGGGAUAAAAUAUGAUAAAUGAGGGGUGAAAGCUGAUGUGUGUAAACAGUCUAGUGGAAGAUGCAGAGGAAAUAGGAAAAGAGGAAAGAAAAUCCAACCACACAUGCAGAUGAGACCAUGAAAUAAAUGUACGUUUGUGGGCAAAAGGAAUGUACAAGAGAAGGGGGAAAAGAAACUUGUUAGUGAGAAUAUUUACCCCAAAGUAGGGACAGCACUACCAUUACAACAUGGAUGUCACAAACAUUCAUAAACCCCAUUUGUUUUCUUAUCAGUGAAUCUAUAAUCCAGAUAUCUGGAUUAUACAAGCUCAACCAGUUCUUUGUUGCCUCAGUGUAAGGCCAUGAAGAGCUCUGUAGUUUGAGAUUGCAGUGGUGCAGUUAAAACAGAAACAAGGAGACAGACAGUCAAAGCUUUAACAGAAGAUGGGCAAGGGAGACAGCAGGAUGAGGAAAACAGCAAUUCAAAAAGGAUUUCAUCAUUCCAAAAAGGAUUUCAUUCUCUGGGAAACACUAUCCCGAGAAAUGCUCACUAUUUAAAAAUCGGAAUUGCAGGAUUGUUAGACCUGUAGUCAUUUAAAUUCCUAGUCGUUGCACUACAAAUAUCCAGUGUUCCACAGAUUAUCCAAUGGAUUACAACUUAAAUGAAAGAGCAUAUGAGAUUUCUAGGUGUUAAGGCUUCUUAUAAGUGAUUUCAUAUGCUUUGUGUUUCAGAAUAUACUGAAAUUUGUGUAUUUUAUAGUUUGACAAGACAGAAAUAAAAACAAAUGCAUGUGUUCACAUUUCUGAAUUGGCGCAGCUUGGAAAUUGAAUAUGAUUUGCCUAUACUUAAAGCAGAUUAUUCUAAAAGCCAAUAUGAAAUGUGUGUCACAAUUGUGACUGCCUUUAAACAAACACUGACAGAAACAGUUGUCUAGUAUAAAAUAUAGGCAGCAAAACUAUGAAUGUUAUAAUGAUAAAUCAAAGAUGCAAAUUACUUUUAACUCACAUAAUUUUAUGGAAAUAGAUGCAAACACUUAACAAAUGUCUUAUUAAGUCUACUCCUCCGCAUAUUAUCAAAUUAGUUUCUCCAGAAUGUGUAGGCAACACAAAUUUGCCCCAGAACUAGAGAAGGAUGCAUUGUUUCCCUUUCUCUGAUGUCAGCUGCACACUGAAUAUGAUUUUUAAUAUCACACUGGUAAAAAGAGCUAACACUGUUCCUAUUCCAGUGCCAAGUUAAAACAGAGCUAACACUGUUCCUAUUCCAGUGCCAAGUUAAAACAAUGUGUUUUGUUAAAGCCUUUGGCUUCUGAUGAUGUUAUCCAAGUUGUACAUUUUAUAAUAUGUAAGCUAAAAGAAAUUGGAUUCAAAUACAUGUAAUGAUAAAGAAAAUUGUAACGAUUAAUCUUCACUUAGCACUGGGACUUUUUUCUUUUGGGAUUGAUGGGAGAUGCAGCUGGAAAGUCAUAGAAGUUGGCAUCAAUAUAUAGCCACAGCAACAGGAAUACUAUAUGCUCAAGGAUGGAAGAAUUUAGUAGUAUCUAUUGUGGAGGGAUGGUUGAUGAAAUUGAAAGGUUUAGCAGAAAUUGACAAAUUGUCUGGUUUGAUAAGAGAGGUCAGACUUGAACUUUUAUUCUAUUGUAUUUUAGGUUUCUUUCUUUUCUAUUUCAAAUCUUCGUAUUAUUUAAUGUAUUUAAAACUCUCAACAAAAAUUAUUUGUAAAAAAAAAAAAGCAGCUCCAUAAUGCUCCCAAAAUCCACUCUAGGGCAUGCACAGUCAUUUCCACCACAUUUAGGGACCCCUUGGAUCCCCAGGAGUCAAAAGCAAUUUUUGCAAAAAAAAAAAUCUAAAACUUUUUUGUUGCCCUGAAAUGCUACGAAGUCUUCACUUGGGGUACAGAGUGCAGUUUUUUCACAUUUUGCACCCCCCCUAGGCAAAUGUACACCUAGGUGAGGCCUUUCUUGAACCUCAAAACAUGGCAAUUUUUUAGAGAGAGCAGGUCUGCUAGGGGGCUAAUGCAAUACCCAGUCUUCCACUAUGCCCACCCUAAUUUAUACCAAUGGAAGUUCAACCCAAGGAAAAUGUAUCUGUUUGAUUUUGGAUUUCCUCUUAGUCCCCAAUGCCGAAGUCCACCUUCUGUUGUCUACUGGGAUAAGAAGGAGGCACAUAGUUUAGCCUUCUGAACUCCUGCUUGCACAAUACUGAAUGUUACCAUGGAAAGAUGAAUCAGAAAGAACCUGCCCUCUUUCAAAAGUUGAAGGUUUGCUCUCAAUUCUUCCCUGGUUUGUCCUUCUACUCUGCUCCCAUAUGGGUAAGUCAGCCAAUGGAUUAAAAAAUCCCAUAACAAUACAUGCCCUGGGAUAGCUCCACUACAGUUCAUGUAGCACUCCGACUGAGUAAAAUUUCCAAAACCUAUACAGUACUUCUACAAAAUGGACAAUCUUCAGCUUCCAUACCUUUCCAUCUUCUAAUUGUGCCAUUUUCGUUAUACCUCCAUCCACAUCUGUACCUUCUCCAACUUUUACUUUGGCCUGUCCAGCUGCUUCAGUGAUCUUAUCACCAGCAGAUACUAUUACUGAGGGAGAGACAUCCUUUAGAAGGCUCUGGUCUGUGAUACCUAUUGGAGCUACAAGAAAAGGCAAGUUAUGGAUUUUGGUCAAAUCCUUACCACCAUCAAGACUCCUGGAAACACGUUUGCUGGAGGUCCUUUCAAAGUAUGGAGCAGGUCUAUCUAUGAGAUUGCUUGCCUGCCGUGUCUGUGCUUGAGUACGGCCACUGUAGCGGAACUUGGACCCCAAUGUCAGGAAUUUGGCCUUUGUAGGCUGUUCUGGUGAUACAAGUCUGCAAUCCCCAAAAGAAAACAUAUUGCAUAUACUCAUGGAUAAGUCAACUUCACAGGUAUGUUGACUGCUGGUUUGAGAGGCAAGUCAAGUGUUACUACUCAGAAGGGGAAAAUCUAAAUUGGCCCUGCCCACAUCUAUCAUUGCUUCGUCCAGGCAUUCAAAAUGUUUAGAAGCAUUGCCAUAGCGGAGAGAGUAGAAGAGUUGGUGCUUCUUUUCGGUUCUCCCAUGACACACUAAACUUUUGCCACUCUACUCAGAGAAGGGUAUGAUUCCUUUUUUAUAAGAGUUAAAGUAAUUGACUCAGGUUUUUAAAACUGAUUUUUUGAUUAAUAUUUCUAUUUAGAAGUAUUUCAGAACUAUACCUGAUACUCAUUUUUUCAUACUGGAAAACAUCCAAUGAGUUAUCAGAAAAGAAAAAAAUGUACAUGGUUGUACCUGCCAUUUUUAUACCUAGACAUACCGUGUUUCCCCUAAAAUAAGACACUCUUAUAUUAUUUUUUGGCUCUCAAGACCCGCUAGGUCUUACUUGUCAGAGUAAUGCGCACAGCGUAGCAGCAGAUGAAUGACAUCAGUGGAGCGCAGAACGAAGGAACGUCAGAGACAAUGUUAAAAAGUAUUUACAAAGUUUACUUGACAAGACAAACAGACUUGCAGACAAUGGACAUAAGACUUUCGCUCUAGACAAACAGCACAGAUCUUCUCAGCAGGCAGAAACAGAUCUCAUCUGAUGCAAUCAGCUAUAUACAAACACACUUGAGUCUGGACACUCCCAGGUUCCAGCCACACAUCCAAGGUCAAUACAGCUUCUUACCAAUUAACUCUUUACACACUAUAGCAUUUCCUGGAUGAUGCAAUACAUGCUAGACACAAAUUUCAUUUAAACACUAUCUAUAAACAAAUCCCACAUUAACAAUUCCCCCUCUUUAAAUGCAAUUUUGUCUCCUUAAAUAUAUACAUCACCUAAGCACAUAUGAAUCAACUUAUUGUACAUUCAUUACAUCUCAUGGUUUUUCACACUGAAUGUCUUAUAACACUUUUCUUUAAACUAGGUAAUCACAUAUAAUCUUUACACAGUUGUUUCUUACACUCUAUAAACACAGGGAACAUCUCAUGACUCUUAAACGAUUAUACAUGAACAUGAAUCUCUAUCACAAACACAUUCUCUCAAGACUUUACUGUUACACUUUAUCAAUAACAAUCAACUAUUUCAUAUCCACCACUACCAACAUAGUCUUUUCCAACAGGUGACAUGUGGAACUUCGUUGGAUCAGACAAAUACGGUACUAGCACACAUCUUUUUCUUUCUUUCUUUCCUACACUCAUGCACACAUUUUCUGUGGUCUCUUGUUUUAUUUGCUUAGUUGUUAUUUUGCCUUUCAGUGUUCCAAUGCUAGCCUUCUUUUGUGUACUCAACCCAUGUUCACUACCUGAUGUAACUUUCUUAGGUGUUUCAGACUCAGAUUUAAGUAAAUGUUGUUCCUCUCUUGUAACAAUGUCUCUCGCUUUCUGGAAACCAUGCAGCUGUUCCGAAUUCGAAUGAAUCUGUUUCCAAUCAUUAGGUCUCUCAAAAUAAGCUAUUCUGGAUAUUUUGACUGUUUGUGGUGGUUCUAAAAACUUAUAAGACCUUUUGUAAUAUCCAAUGAAAGUCAUUUCCUUGUGCCUUUGCUUCUUUUGGGUCCUUUCUUUUGCCGGAAUGAAUACAUUUGUUCUCUGACCAAAAAUUCUUAGGAAUUUGUAAUUUGGAACAUAAUUAUACACUUUACGAAAUGGGAUAUCUUGCACACACUCAUCCCACAACCUAUUAGUUAUGUAAUUACAAGUAUGAAGCACCUCAUGCCAAUAGUUGUUAGAAAUAUGGCUAUCUUUAAACAUACAUGUUUUCAUUUCAUUUAGGACUUGCACUCUUUUCUCUGCAAUCCCUUCUUCAGCCUUAAACUGUCCAAUUUCUAAACAAUCAAUGUUCUUUGACCUCAAUAGCUUCUUGAACUCAUCAAUACAAACUUCUGCCCCUUUGUCAAUUAUGAGAGUAUCCAAUUUCUUAUCAUACACAUUUUCAAUUAAACUCAGCCAAUUAGAAAUUUUUAGUUGCUUCAGAUAAUUCUUUGAAGAAAUAUAUGUAACCAAAUUUGCUCAAUCUCUCUACAAACAACAUCAUGUAUUUCGACCCACCAGUACUUUCCUCAAAUGGCCCUUCAAUCUGAACAUGUGCCUUUUCAAACAAACUGGUUACCUUAAUCUUUGACCUUUUGUAAAACUUCACAGGUACCUUUUUCACCUGUUUGCAUAUGGCACAAUCUAGUUCAUAAUGGCAAGACUCCAUUUUAUACUCUGGGCUUAAAUCAAGUGUCUUCUUCAGAAUAUCCAUGUUUGCAUGACCCAUGACUCUAUGGAACAAAUGUACACAACGAUCAUGUUGUAUCUGACCUCCAACACACAUGAUUUCUACAUUUUUGUGAUCAAUGCUAUUUACUUUGUCAAACAUUUCAUACAUCUUGUUCCGUUUUACUCCUUUUCCUACUAGCUUUCCUUUUCUGUCGUAAACCUAACAAUAGAUACCUUUAAAAUUCACUUUAUACUGGUGGUCUGUUAAGGUGGCAACACUUAGCAGAUUAGAUUUCAUUUCAGGUACAUACAAAACUCUCUCCCAAUAUACUCUAAAACAGGGAAUAUAACAAGUGCCAAAUUGAGAAAACAAUUUAAAUGACCCAUCAGCCAAAGUAACAGUCACUCCUUCUGUUGACUGCACAUUUCUCAGACAAGAAAGAUUGUUCGUGAUAUGAUGAGUUGCACCUGAGUCCAGCACCCACUUGUUGGUCUGUUGAUCCGUUUGUUGACCAUUAGCAGCCAUCAUCACCGUAGGUCCAGAGAAGUUGAAUGUACCUCUGCUCCUGUUGAAGCCUCUGGAACGUCGUCCUCGUCCUCUGGCCUGUUGUACCUUGCUUCGGCAGUCUCUGGCUAGAUGCCCUGGCUUGUUGCAAACAAAACACCUUCUUGCAGUUGACACACGCACAUCUGCAAACACAGGCUCCAUUUCUUUCACCUCCACAUGGGACUCCCCCUCGCUCCUGCAGCCUCGAGCCGACUCCUGCUCAAAGGAACACCGAUCCUGUUCUUCAAGCACUCUCGCACACACCAAAUCUAAACUCAGAUCUUGAGAUGGCACGGCUUGCAGUGAAUACAGCAAAUGGUCCCAGUCACUAGUCAGGCUAGACAUCAAGAUGUAUGCCUGCUGCUCUUUGUCUAUUUGAACACCUCUGGCUUGGCAUUCUAGAAACAAUUCCUUAAUCUUCUUCACAUGCUGUCUUACAUCUCCACCUUCAGACAGCCUGGCUCUGUACAAUCUCUUCAUCCAGGUCAUCUUGCCCAGUGUACUCUCUCUCUGGUGAACAUGCUUGAGAGCAAAGCCACACUUCUUGGGCAGUCUGGAGAUGUUGUACAUGCACCAAUUGAUCUGGCAUCACACUCAGGAUCAAAGUUGCCAGCCCUCUCAUUUUUCUCUCUGUCUGCUUCUUUGCCUAAGAUGGUCUUCUGCAGCCCUUCUCUCACCAGCAAAUGCUGCAUAUACACAGACCAUUCUUUGUAAUUGCGAUCAUUUAAUUUGUCCAUCAUUGUAAAUGAGUUUAAGGCAGCCAUCCUCUCACCUUCCGGAGACCCUCGCACUCGAGUUAACAGCCCUGCUGCUGAUGGUUCCACACUUCAGCAGCGUCUGGCAGUCUCCCCCACAAGCUUCGAGAUUUAUGGCUCCACACCUCUCACCUCUGACCAUCAAUCAGUCAGGCCUCAGCACGCCCCGCUGCGUCUCUGCUUCUCCAUGAAAUCAAUCUUCAUCCGAAGACACACCAGAUUCACACUCAAGCAGGCUCACCAAAACAGCGGGUCUCGUCUCUGGUCACACUCGCAGCUCCAACUUUCUCUCCACUCCAAACUCCAGAACUCUGGUCCAGUCUAGGUACUGGUCAGUCUGGUCAAACUGGUCUGGAAACUGGUUCUGGGCCCAUAACCAAUUGUCAGAGUAAUGCACACAGCGUAGCAGCAGAUGAAUGACGUCAGUGGAGCGCAGAACGAAGGAACGUCAGAGACGAUGUUAAAAAGUAUUUACAAAGUUUAAUUGACAAGACAAACAGACUUGCAGACAAUGGACAUAAAACUUUCGCCCUAGACAAACAGAUCUCAUCUGAUGCAAUCAGCUAUAUACAAACACACUUGAGUCUGGACACUCCCAGGUUCCAGCCACACAUCCAAGGUCAAUACAGCUUCUUACCAAUUAACUCUUUACACACUAUAGCAUUUCCUGGAUGCAUGCUAGACAAACAUUUCAUUUAAACACUAUACACAAAUCCCACAUUAACAUUACUUUCGGGGGAGGUCUUAUUUCACUGUCUUCUCCUCCACCACGACAGCAGUGUGCAGGAGAAGGAGCGAAAGGCGCGCGCCUUUCCCUUUUCUCCUUUACCUUUCUCGGCGAAAGAGAGCCAUCGCCAGCCAAGAAGGAGAAGAAGGGCUCCUCCUUCAUGGGCGGCAAAGGGGGCCGCCGCCACCACUGCCGCACGGAAAGGAGAAGAAGGGCUGCCUCCUCUCCUUCCCGGGCGGCGAAAGAGAGAGCCUUCACCGCCCGGGAAGAAGAAGAAUGGACCCCUCCUCUCCUUCCCGGGUGGCAAAAGAGAGAGCCUUCGCCACCCGGGAAGGAGAAGGAGGGACCCCUCCUCUCCUUCCCGGGCGGCGAAAGAGAGAGCCUUCGCCGCCCGGGAAGGAGAGGAAGGGACCCCUCCUCUCCUUCCCGGGCGGCGAAGGAGGCCACCGCCACCACUUGGGAAGGAGAAGAAGGGCUCCUCCUUCUCCUUCACGGGUGGGAAAAGAUGCCAUCGCCAUUAGGGAAAGCGAAGGAGGGCUCCUCCUUUGCCUUCCCAUCGCCGCUAGGGAAGGCGCGCCUUCCCUUCUUCUUCAUCUCCCUCUUCCUAGGCCUUACUUUCGGGGGGUGCCUUAUAUUAGACAUUCCCCCCAAAUCUCUACUAGGUCUUAUUUUAUGGGGAUGUCUUAUUUUUGGGGGAAAACGGUAUUUGAUAACAUAUGAAGUAUCAAACAGAAUUAUAAUUCAUACUGUUAAAAUUUCUGAAUAUAAUGUCCCUUUUACAGGGUUUGUACAUGAAAUUGCAUAGGUUUUUUGUCACUUUCACAGCUAGGGCAUAAAUUAAAAAACUCUCUAUUUUAACAAGACUCAAAAGCCAUUACAAGGUAAAGGACAGGAAAAGAACUUCACUUUUAAUAGGCAGACAGUUUCCAGACAGUAUUUCUAGCAUAGGAUAAUAAUGAACAAAAAUUAAAGGUUAUUUUUGAGGGGAAAACAUUCCAAAACAAAAAUAUUAUAAAAUACUUUUUUAAAAAAAUGAGCUGCACAAACUAUCCAAAUGACAGAAAUGCGGUAAUUGCAGAAUUUUGUUCAAGAGCAAGAGGAGGAAUGCUUAAGAUUUCUCCCUAUAACUUAAAUAUUAUCUUCCAAAAACAUUUUUUCCUUUAACGAGAAAAGACAUGGGGAUCCUAUAACCAAUGGUUAGAUAACACAAACUUUUUACCUAUAAAAUGUAUGAUGCUCCACACAGACCUUCCAUAGUCUCUUUGCAGCCCGAUGGUUUGGCAGUUUAAAUCCAAUAGUACUCUCAAACUGUUCCAACUGGAAAGAUGACAUACAUCAAGAUUAAAAUGAUUUCAGAAAGUUACACUAUUGGCUAGGCUAAAAGUAAUUUAAAAUACUGCAUUUCUUAUUUCUUAGGAUUAGAAUCACUGAAAAACAUUUCCAUUUCUGGCCUAUUUACGGUACAUGAAUUCUAAACAUUAAUAUAUUUUGGAUGAUGUGUUGUUGAAGGUUUUCGUGGCUGGAAUCACAGGGUUGUUGUGUGUUUUCCGGGCUGUAGGGCAAUGUUGUGGAACAUGGCCAUACAGCCCGGAAAACACACAACAACCCUAUUUUGGAUGAAGCAGGGGUAGAAAAAGGAAAGGCAUAUUUAUUCAGAAGUAAGUUCAAUACUCUGCAAGAAUUUAUUAUUAUUAUUAUGAUUACCUGUAAAAUACAAGUUGAAAAUGUUCAUUUAAAAUUUUAUCCAUAUCAAAUGUGAUCAUGCUAUACUAAUUCUAUGGGACAAUUCUGACAAUUGAUUAAUUGUGGGAUUGAUAGUUUGGAUGAAGUGACUGAACCUUACCAAGAAGUUCCAUCAUAUUAAGAGCACCACCCUUAAUCUAGAGGUACUGCCAUCCUGAGUACAUUAUACAUGUGUAUAUAGAAAUGUGUAUAUGUGUAUAUAUCUGUAACACACACACACAUAGAUCUAAAUCACUUGGCUAAGCUGGAGCUGCAUAAUAGCUGCUUUAAGACUGUCACAGCCUGCCAGGUAACAAAUGGUUUGUUUAUUCAUCAGGAAGAACACUACUAGCAUAUUGAGAUCGUAAUAAUCUAUACCAGAGCUUCUUAAACUUUUCCAUUCACAGCCCCUUUUCGUCCAAGAAAUAUUUACGUGAGUCCAGGUAUAUAUCUAUAUAUAUAUAUAUAUAUAUAUAUAUAUAUAUAUAUAAAGAGUGAUAGAAUCCUGGCGACGGACAAAACAACAAACUAAACACCCCACAACCUCGAAAAUUGACAGCACAACCCCUCAUCCACGCCUCUACAUUCAUACAACAAAAAGAAAAGAAAAAUAAAAUCCUAAUUAGAGGGACAGGCAGAGUUAGGCCUCACUUAGGCCUCUUCCACACUGCCUAUAAAAUACAGAUUAUGUGAUUUUAACUGGAUUAUAUGGCAGUGUAGACUCAAGGCCCUUCCACACAGCUAUAUAACCCAUUUAGAAUCUUAUAUUAUCUGCUUUGAACUGGAUUAUCUUGACCCCACACUGCCAUAUAAUCCACUUCAGUGUGCAUUUUAUACAGCUGUGUAGAAGGGGCCUCAUAUAAUCCAGUUCUGAGUAGAUAAUAUAAGAUUAUAAAUAUACAGUAGAAUCUCACUUAUCCAACAUAAACAGGCCGGCAGAAUGUUGGAUAAGUGAAUAUGUUGGAUAAUAAGAAGGGAUUCAGGAAAAACCGAUUAAACAUCAAAUUAGGUAAUUAUUAUACAAAUUAAGCACCAAAACAUCAUUUUAUACAAGACAUUUGACAGAAAAAGUAGUUCCAUGCGCAGUAAUGCUAUGUAGUAAUUACUGUAUUUAUGUGAUGUCUCAGAGACCCUCGAGUCAUGACCCCGUAGCCAUUAUAGAUCAGACUGAAGAGGAUAUGGGGUUUUUUCCAACUCAGCAAGAUUCUGUUCCCUUCCAGAUGUUCCCUGUUUACAGUUUGGGUCCAAAGCUAAUUACAAAAGCCCUUGAAACAGAGCCUGGUUCCCCAGAAAGUGUUGUUUUUGAUAGAAAAUCGUUUCUCAAAACACACCACUCUGAGAAGGAGAUUUGGAGACGAAGUGCGAAUUAGCGGAGAGAGAGGACUCUAAUUAAACCGAUUCCCUUGGGAGUUUUCAGGGAGGGUUGCAUCUGGCAAAAUUGUUGUCUUCAGCCCGUUUCCCUUGGGAAAAUGUGAACUCAGGCACCUGGUUUGGGGAAGAUUUUGAAGUCCCAUAAAAGUUCUGGGCACAGGCUAGCCAUCGCGGUGUCAACGUGUCAGUUGGAAAGUUAACAUCUACUCUAGUUCCUGCGGCGCACUACUCUUGAGUAAACCGGGCGUUGCGUCUCGUCUCCCUGUCAAGACUGGACUGCAUUUCAGUUCCACCACGACAACUUUGCUUUGCUUCCUUGCCUUGCCUUGUUUUUCCCUGCCUUGGACAUUGAACCUGGAACUCUUGUGAAAGACCUUGCUUUAUUCCCCACUCAAACUGCUUGGAAGUUUGAGUGUGUUUCAGUUAUUGGAUUUGAAAACUUGAUCUCUAAUACUGGACAUUAAACUUUAUAUUACUGGACUAUAUUUGACCUUUCCUAAAAGGACUAUUGCUGGACUAUAUACUCUGCUUAUUUUUGUUUGAUUCUUUUAUUGCUUUAAUAAAGAUAUUAGAUUGUUUAUUGGCCUCCAUGUUGGUUUCCAGAGCUCACGCAGCUUAGAGGCGUCACAAUUUACAAAUUUAUCACCAAACUAUCACAAUGAAUUUAAAACACUGACUACAAAAACAUUGCUUAUGAAAAGGCACACUGCGUUGGAUAAUCCAGAACACUGGAUAAGCGAAUGUUGGAUAAGUGAGAUUAAUCUGUAAUAUGAAAUAAUUACUAUGGUAGAAUAAUACAGAACAAUAUAAUCCCUAAAACCAGGACACUCAAUAAAGAGGAACACUCUGAAAGCAGGGAAAUUGGGAAUUCCAGAAAGGAAACAAUCAGGGCCAGCUAACACCUCCCAAGAAAGGAUUCUUCCAGAAAGGAAGCUGAGAAGGGAGUGAAGCACUGUGUAUUACCAAAGUCAUUAUUAUUACUAUCAUUACUAUUACUAUUAUUAUUGUUGUUGUUGUUGUGUUGCGGUCAACCGUGAAAAUGAAUACAAUCUGGUUCCAAGUAUUCAAAAACACUAAAAUCAAAAUAUAUAAAAAUUAAUGUGGUAUAAUAAAACAGAACAAUACAAUCUCUAAAAUCAGAACACUAAAUAAAGAACAACACUCUGAAAACAGGGGAAUUCCACAAAGGAAACAAUCAGGGCCAGCUAACACCUCUCAACAAAAUAUUCCCAUCAUCAAAGUCUGGCAAAUCCUCUGCUUUCUCAGGGCCACAGACAGUAGAAGCACAUAAAAUAUCACAAACAACACCACUCUGAAAACAAGGGAAUUCCAGACAGGAAACAAUCAGGGCCAGCUAACACCUCCCAACAAAAAAUUUACUUGGGGAGGAAGCAGCCAGGCUUUAAAGCUGCAAGGCCAUUACAUGCUAAUCAUUUUGCCUAAUUGCAGCAUUCAUACUUGCUUCCAACAGACAAAAAAAAAACCCAAUCAGAAAUAUUGUAUAUUCGCAACCUUUAGGAAAUAAUAUCCCCUGAUGGCACAGUGUGUUAAAGCGCUGAGCUGCUAAACUUCUGGACCGAAAGGUCGCAGGUUUGAAUUGGGUGAGCAUGUUUAGCCUGCAGAAGAGAAGGCUGAGAGGAGACAUGAUAGCCAUGUACAAAUAUGUGAGGGGAAGUCAUAGGGAAGAGGGAGCAAGCUUAUUUUCUGCUGCCCUGCAGACUAGGACACGGAACAAUGGCUUCAAACUACAGGAAAGGAGAUUCCACCUGAACAUCAGGAAGAACUUCCUCACUGUGAGGGCUGUUCGGCAGUGGAACUCUCUCCCCCGGACUGUGGUGGAGGCUCCUUCUUUGGAAGCUUUUAAGCAGAGGCUGGAUGGCCAUCUGUCGGGGGUCCUUUGAAUGCGAUUUCCUGCUUCUUAGCGGGGGGUUGGACUAGAUGGCCCAUGAGGUCUCUUCCAACUCUACUAUUCUAUGAUUCUAUGAUUCUAUGAUUCUAUGAGCAUAGAGAACCCCCACUGUUAGUCCCAGCUUCUGCCAACCCAGAAGUUCAAAAACAUGCAAAUGAGAGUAAAUGAAUAGGUACUGCUCCGGCAGGAAGGUAACAGUGCUCCAUGCAGUCAUGCCACAUGUCAUGCUACGGACAACGACAGCUCUUCGGCUUAGAAGAGUCAGACACGACUGGACUUAAUGUCAGGGGAAAACCUUUACCCUUUACCUUAACUACCACCAAUUCCUCAAUACAGUGGAGUCUCACUUAUCCAACAUUCUGGAUUAUCCAACGCAUUUUUGUAGUCGAUGUUUUCAAUAAAUCGUGAUUUUUGGUGCUAAAUUCAUAAAUACAGUAAUUACUACAUAGCAUUAUUUCGUAUUGAACUACUUUUUCUGUCAAAUUUGUUGUAUAACAUGAUGUUUUGGUGCUUAAUUUGUAAAAUCAUAACCUAAUUUGAUGUUCAAUAGGCUUUUCCUUAAUCCCUCCUUAUUUUCCAACAUAUUUGCUUAUCCAACGUUCUGCUGGCCCGUUUAUGUUGGAUAAGUGAGACUCUAUGUAGUUUAUUUCCCAUACCACCAUACUUCGCCACAGCAACGCAUGGCCGGGCACAGCUAGUAGGCAUAUAAAAUAGGUAUACAAAUCAAAUAUUUACUAAUCAAAAUUUAGCUUAAAACAAUUCUUUGGUAUAUAUACAAUUUACAGUUUAUUAAAGAUUAAAGCAAAUUUGCAUAUUAACGAGAUGGAUGUGCUUGUUUAUUUUUAAAUAAUUAAAUCUUGACUGAAUGUUUGAUACUGUAUAGAGAAUCUUAAACAAUUUUCAUGCCAUGAAAAUGUCUAAACCAGACACUAGAGGGUACACUACACAUAUUUUUCAGGACCCUCAGAUUCAAUAUAGGGGAUUUAUAAUACUGCAAAUAAAAUGGUAUGUACCACAAAGCUAUACUGUAUACUCUUAUAUAACCUUUUGGACCUUCGGCUUUCUGGAUUUAAAAUUCAGAUCCCUGGUAAUGAUUUGUGCAAGCUAUAGUCUAAAACCGCGAUUCUCAAAGUGUGCACUGGGAAGUGCUUGGAGCUCCAUGAAGCAUACUGAGGACUCCACCACCGUUUCCUCCUCCAUUCCCCUCCAAACUUUCCCUCCUCUUUUCUGCCCCUUCGCUUCCCUCACCCCCAAAAGCCUUUUUUUCCUCACCUCCCGUGUCGCCAAAAGCCUUUUCUCCCACCUCCCUUGCCGCCAAAAGCCUUUUUUCUCCCUUGCCUUCCUUGCUUCCUUCCCUCCCACCACGCUUUGAUUGUGCUUUUCCUGUAUGACAGAAGUGGAUUUGACUGGGUGGCCCUUGGAACCUUCCACUGAAAUACUCUUAAGUUUAUAUUGGUCAAAAGGUUUGCCCAUGCCUGAUAUAUAUAUUAUAUAAACCUUUUGGGGGCUCCACAAGAAACUUUUGCUUCAAAAGGGGCUCUGUGGCUGAAAAAGUUUGAGAACCCCUAGUCUAAAACAUACUGGAAGGCCAAAGAUUCCCCACCAUUUCUUUAUAUUAUUCAUAACAGGAGGUAUAGAAAGAUUGGAUCACAUGUUCAUACAUCUUCCUAGAUGUGAAUUAUGAAAGCCAAAAGAUUACCUCAGUUGGUCUGACUUUAAUAUAGAAAUUACUGCGUUUAUAAGAGAUUUUCAAAAUUUUGGGCCAAGCAAAACGGUUGAUUCGGAGUCUGUCUUUGUAAAUGAGUAGCCCAUUGGCACACACUCCAAGCAUGAUAUCCACACCUUCAGAAUCCUAAAAAGACAAUUGUGAAAAAUAUUUAAAUUUUCUUGUUACAGGAAUAUGUUAGGGAAUAUUAUGAAAGAUUGCAGAAGAGUGAUCAACACAACUUGCAUGAAAAAUGAGGUACAUAUUGCACAGUUUUUACAGAGAUAGCCUUCAGAUGCAGUCAUACCUAAGCUGUUUUUCUGUGAGCUGAUGCGGAUCAGGGAUGGAUGUAAUUAAGUCAACACGUGAGCUUCUCUCUGUGCCUGAAGUUUAUAGUUGUGUUUGUCAGGUACAGAACGUUCAAAACUAGUGAAACUUACUGUUCAGUCAAAUGCAUUUUGUGUUAUUUCCACUUAUGUGUUUAAUUAUUUUAUUUAAUACCUGUCCAAACACGUUGAUAGUGUUUCCCUAGUUGCCUUCCUAAUUAUAUUAGUAUUAACAGCUUGAGCAACUUGGUUCCCUUUUCUCAAAAUUUCUUUCCUCCCUCCAACUGACAGCUUCAACAUAUUUUGCAGUUCAGUUCCACUCAAAUGUUUUGCAUCCUGAAAAGCUGAAAAGGUCAUUAGGAGGCCAUUCUGAUAUUUUUUUUAAUGUAAUUGAAUUUACAACACAUAUUUCUUUAUAGGAAAAAUCCUCAAGUUAUAAAGAAGCCACUAUGUGUGGGAAUAUUAAUUUUGCUUCCAGGCUGGUCGGGUCAGAACCACCCCAAAUAGUCAGAUUAUAUAUUACAUUUUAGAUAUAAAAACGGCACCCAUCAUUUAUCUAGAAGUGCUCUAAUCUGCUGGUUCCCUACGAGUUUCAUUUUCCCCCCACAUCUUCUUCCAGAUUCCUCACUGCUGUGUAUUCACAUGAAGAGGACACCAUUAAAUUCUUUUGCUCAUCUUCAUCUAUGUCAUGGUUUGCAAUGAUACUAUAUGUGUGUUAACUGGAAAAUCAAAUGCAUGAAGCCAAUUGGCUGAGUUUGCAAGGACCUGGGAAUCGGUUUGCAAUUGCUGCUGUCCUGCUGCUGUCGAACCAGUUUGAACAGAUGUCUGUCUGUGUGUGUGUGUGUGUGUGAUAUUGACUACAUGGAUAUUGACUACAUGGAAAUUUAUUCUCCCAGUCAGUCCUAGUUCAGUUAGACUGAUUUUAAGCAUUGCGGCUUGUUUGAAUUUACAGACCUAUCAUUUUGAUAUCAGCACUCCUUAUUUAAAUGCUGAUUUAAAGGAAACUAUAUAUGUUGUGCCCCAAAGGAUAGGGACAAUAAUGUGGUUUAUCAUUUACGGAAGGAUCUUUACAGUUUAAAACAGGUGGGACUUGCCUGGCACGAAUGUCUGAGUGAAGUUCUGGUUGAGAAAAUGGGUUUUGUGAGAAGUAGGGCAGACCCAUGUAUAUUCACAUGGGAACUGAACCAGGAUUACCAAACACGCAAUAUGUUUGUGGACAAUCUGUGUUUUUCUGCGAGAUCCAUACAGGAAAUUGAACAGUUUGAGAAGGAACUGGGAAAGCAUUUCAAGUUGAGGAACUUGGGUCCCAUACAGUAUUUUCUAGGAGUUAAUAUUGUGAGGGAUGAAAAAGGGGACUUUGUUUUGAGCCAGAAAAGCAAGAUAAUGCAAGUGCUGGAGAAGAUAGGAAUGCAGGAUUGCAAGGGAGUUCAAUCACCUAUGAUUUUGGGUUUUACUGGGGAAGUGGAGAACUCGGAGGAAUUUAACAACAAAGCACUAGACAAAAAGCAUUAUCCAUCAGCUAUUGUAUAUUAGUAAUUAUAUGAGGGCAGAUAUUUCAUUUGUGGUGAAUUUCCUGAGCUGAUAUGCUAGUAACCCAACCAUAGCUGCUUGGAAUGGAGUCAAGAGAGUAGUGUGGUAUUUAAAGCAAACUCUAGAUUAUUGUUUAGUUCUGAGUCCAAGUAAAAAUGUAAGUUUGCAAGUGUACAAGGUCAGUGAUUUCGGAAAUAGCAGCAACAGGAAAUUGACAACAGUGAUUUUGAUCAAGUUUGUAGGCUGAAUUGUGGAUUGGAAUUCCAAAAAAUAGGUGUAUGUAGCCUUAAGGUCAAGUGAGGCAGAGUUUGGUGCUGUGAGCACUGAAAUCUGCAUAAUAAAGAGAUUAUUACGGGAUCUACAGAUCCCAGUGGAGAACCCCACUACUAUUUUUGAGGACAAUCAAACAUGCAUCCAUAUGGCCACCCAGGCCCGGGUGAAGCAGAGAAGCAAACAUGUGGAUAUUAAGUAUGCUUGUGUCAGGGAUGCAGUGAAGAAUGGGGAGAUUAAUUUAGUGUACUGCAACACCAAUUCAAAUUUGGCUGAUAUUUUUACAAAACCUCUGGGAGUUCAGAGGCUGAAUGAUUUAUGUAUUCUUAAAUGUACUGUUUACAUGGGGAAUGUGUUCUU